GCUGUCGUAGCUCAGUCGGUAGAGCGCGUGCAUGGUAAGCACGAGGCCAAGGGUUCGAUUCCCUUCGUCAGCACCA
rnacentral:tRNA from 1 species